UGCAACGUGCAUCCAGAUAUGCUUUUGGAUUAUUAUUGCACAGAUCAUGAUAUUGUUUGCUGUAGAGCUUGCAUUCCUAAAGACCACAGGAAAUGCGAAAAUGUUCUGACAUUAGAACAUGCCUCUAAAGAUGUCAAAAAGUCGGCACUAUUCACCGACGUUAUGCAGGACAUAAACCAGCUCAUUAUAACAUUAAAUCAUUUACAGGAUAACAGAGAAUCAAACUUACAACGACUUUCUAAA
rnacentral:lncRNA from 1 species